rnacentral:tRNA from 1 species
GGGGCUGUAUCUCAGUGGUAGAGUGCUUGCCUAGCAUGCAUGAGGCACUGGGUUCAAUCCUCAGCACCACA